GGGUCAGUAGGUUGGUCGUGCCACCGGUACGUACUGGUCUCACUGAUUCCUCCUUCCUGAAGAAUCGUAAUGCCAUUAAUUUGGUGUUGCGGGGAAACAGGACUGUUACUUUGAAAAAAUUAGAGUGUUUAAAGCAAGCUAACGCUUGAAUACAUUAGCAUGGAAUAAUGAAAUAGGACGAUCGAUCCUAUUUUGUUGGUUUCUAGGAUUGACGUA
rnacentral:rRNA from 1 species